rnacentral:misc_RNA from 1 species
GAAAUGCGAUAACUAGUGUGAAUUGCAGAAUUCAGUGAAUCAUCGAAUCUUUGAACGCACAUUGCGCCCCCUGGUAUUCCGGGGGGCAUGCCUGUUCGAGCGUCAUUUCACCACUCAAGCCUCGCUUGGUAUUGGGCAACGCGGUCCGCCGCGUGCCUCAAAUCGACCGGCUGGGUCUUCUGUCCCCUAAGCGUUGUGGAAACUAUUCGCUAAAGGGUGUUCGGGAGGCUACGCCGUAAAACAACCCCAUUUCUAAGGUUGACCUCGGAUCAGGUAGGGAUACCCGCUGAACUUAAGC